GCAGAGUAGACGACCGUGCGUAAAGUGCCGUUGGGACGGGAGUUGCCCAACGGACGAAGGAUUUUUCGAACCGCGGUUCGGCCGUCGCAUCCCGCUGC
rnacentral:ncRNA from 1 species